rnacentral:tRNA from 11 species
CGUAGCCUGGUGGUUGAGACACCAGGCUGGUAACCUGAAGGUUGCUGGUUCGAGCCCGGCA